UCGGAACUUAAAAUCCCCAAAUCAAGGAUUCUUCUGUAUCAUCACCAUUACAAUAAUCAAAAACAACCUUGGCACAUACGUAUAUGCAGCAGUAGUAUGUAUCAUCUCAACCACAAUAAAAUCUCGUAGAACAAUAUACAACGCAUCAUCACAUCCUACUACAAGUCAGAAUAGUUAAGGAGAUAAAGAUAAAAGAGACGCUCACAUACAUCAUAAUACCUCUCGUGGUAAUCUAGCAAUGUAACAGCUUUUCGUCCUCGGGUUUGGUCCAAGCUGCACGGUUUGGUUGAGUUCCAGUGCCAGUUUAGGUCAAAGAAGUAGUAAAAUAAAUCUAGUCUUGGAAAGCUUCGACUAGUUAUCUGUGUCUAAACAUUUCUCAAGGGUUUGACUACUAGUACACUCUUGAAGAGCCUUGGCGUUAAGCUCUCUGCCAUAUCUCCAGACAUAGUUGAGCCCGACAAGAAGCUCCGUGAUGAUGGUUUCUGUUUUCUGCUGGUUCGCAAAGAAGAGAGUCUGCGCGAGAACUAUGUGCGUCCUCGAAACCAAGCUCUGGUUCUCGUAACUCCUCUCGGACUGCCAUUUUAUCAUGUUGUGAGCUAACGGACCCAACCAUUCCAAGAUGCCCGCCAUUGCGUCUGUCCACUCCUUCGCUAGCCCCGGAUCAUAAACCGCGGAAGAGCUCAAGUUUUUCGAGUAGGGCUUUAGCUCCUCUCUCAGCGAUUUUCUCACGCUCGCAGGUAACAUGUUGUAUAGGUCGUCUCUCGCGUCGUCGCCUAUCAGAUGAGGAGAUGCAACAAACCUCUCUAUCACGAUGAUGACAUUAGCGUAGUGUAACGCUAAGCAAGCGGCGCCGAGGGUGUUAGGAGCAGCAUCUGACAACUUGGGUCUUUCAACGUGGACAGUGUUGGAACUUCCUUGAUGAUGCUCGGCGCUACUAUGCCUAGCUCCGUUCUGGGUCCUAGUGCUGAGAGGAGUGAUACCGUCUUGAGAUACCAUGCAUCCUUUAAAGGGACCAACCUGUGUUAAACGGUUGGGUUUUGACUGCUUUUUCAAUUUCGCACGCUGCCUUUAGCUGAACCACCUAAAUGUUAUUCCCUUGAAGUUACUUACCAAGAAUGAUGACGUCCCAUCGGAUGAUGUUGUACCGUGCAUAUCUAAAUAAUCCCUAAGGCGGGAAAAGCUCUCUCUCAUUGCAUGUAUGUUGUCUAUCCCAAAAAACACAAUCUGAAGAGAAACAGUGUCAGUAAGAACAAGCAGUUCAAGACGACAAAAAUAUUGAGCUUCAAACCAGGUCAUACUUCAGACUGCAAAUAAUUUGAAGAUGAUUCUGAGCCUCCUCCCAUUGCUCCAUUUGCUAACGCAUUUUUCCUAGGUCUUGCAUCUGCGAUGUAAAGCUUCCUAUGACAUAAAAAAACGAGAGUAAGUGCAUCUUUUAUAACAAAAUAGCAACAUUCAACCAUAUUGAAGAUAUGAACCAACAGAAUGUUAUUUUAUUCUACCCAAAUAGACCUUUCUAUAUAUUUCAGAAAUAAUCCCACGCCCAACUGGGCCAACAAUGAGUGGUUUAUCUCCAAGUUAUAUUCAUAUGCAAACGCAAAACCGUACACAAGAAAUGCACGCACAAGGAAGUGUCAUGGGCUUAAAGAUGAUAUAAAGGAGAUCAAUAGUAAAUCCACAUGUUAACUUUAACCAAAUGAGAACGAACAUAGGAAGCUCACCGUGGUGCUCCCUUGUGACCAGCUAACUGAGUGCAGAAUGAAGCAACAAGUUUUUCAUCAAAGUUACUGUUGAAAAAGAGCAAAAUAUUAGAAAACUUCAGAAUCUAUUACUUUGAGAUUCAAAAUAAGAAACUCAAUUAUCAUCACAAUUCUGGCAUGAAACUGAAACUUCUAUGUACCUCCUCAUGUUCAUCAUCAGACCAACUAAAGGUUGUGAAGAGCGAGCAAUCACAGCUCCAGUUCCUGCAAUUAAAGAUCAAAAAGAAACAUGUGUAAAUGCGGAAGCUAUACGAACAAAAUUCAAAUGGAAGCAACAAAACAGCUGCAUUUCUACCUGGAUGGCACCACGAGAUCACGGGCAGGCGACUUUUUGCCCGGAAAGUAGACGCUUGGGUCAGCUCUUCAUCACUGACAUAAAACAUACGGUAAUUUUAGUUCAAGACUAUACUUUCGAGGAAGAUAGUUUAAACAAAAAUAAACAGAAGCUCUAAAGGCUGGUAGAGACCAAAUUAAACUGUUUUCAUUCAUGUUCAAAGAAUCAAUGUCCUACCUAAUGGAUUUUGGAACCAUCAAAGCAAACGGAUAAGUCGGACACAAGUUAUAAUUCGAGUUCAAGUCAGUUAUCCGCCAAAAGUCAUUGGAAACUGAGAAUGAACCGUCUUUAAUCAUAUUCAUUGACGCUCGCAAUGAACCUUUUCCGAGAAGUCGAAAAUAUUCGUUAAGCAAUCUUUCCUUUGGGUUUUUGUUGCCGAAUUUGGAAGGCCCACAUGUAAAAGCAUAAAGAUCCCAUACUCUCUCUAGAUUGCUACACCUCAAUAGUGCAUCAACUAGAGAACGUCUCUGCAAAAUUAUACCAAUAGAAUCAAAUAGGACCAUAUAGGCUUCAAAAGGAAAUGCAGAAAACGAGAGUCAAAGCUUCACCUGCUUGGUUCCAGGGGGAAAACCAUAGACAAUUAUCCUCAUAUCUUUGCCUGCAAAAUGCACAUGAUUCACAAGAAUAGUUUCAAAACUAACAUAAAGAAGGUAUCAGAUAACAAAAUCUCUCAACCAGUAUUAGUAUAGUGGUAUAUUGGUUAAGAAACAACAGAGGAGAAAGAAAGAGAGCAAAAUAUCAGAGUGAAUUUUAAUAUAAGGCGUAUAAACCUGAUAAAACAAGACUACUGGAAUCAGUUUUAGCAAAUGAUAACACACGGAAACAUACCAGUGACCUGUAAAAGACGUUUUGGUGGAUUCUUGGUGGACUGAUGUCUGUUUGAUUGAACUUUCUGCACCUACAUACAACACCCAACGACACAAAACAAACAAAUUAAAGCCCAAUUUCACUAAGAUUAAACUCAAAACAUACUAAUAACUAAAAACAGACCGUUUUGUUAAACUUCUCGAUAGCCACCAGUGGAAUUGUACCAAGUGGAACAGGAUCUCUGGUUCCUUCCCUCUUCACAAAGAGAAAAAAAGGAUUGAUGUGAUGCACCAUUUUAAAACAUUACAAGACACAAAGAAGAAAGACAGAAAGACAAGCCAUACCAAAAACAGAAUACGGAAAUUUGUGAGUAAGAGGGUCCCUGCUUCAUUGGUGUUGAUGAGUAUAACUCCACAACACUGUAAUCAACAGCCAUAACAAGAAUAUAAAUAAUUUUUUCAACAAACACACACACAAAGACUCUCUGCAAUACAAUAAUCUUAUAUAAACCGCCUAACUACCUCGAAGGUGAUCCUCUCAGAAUCCAGCAAGCAAUCCAAGUUUGAGUACGAGCUUGACCAAGAAGCUUGCUGAAAAGAGAAAAUAAUAAUUAAACAUUAGGCGUCAAUCGAUUAGCCCUAAUCAAUAUCCAAAUAAACAAGAUGAGCAACAUGAUUGAAAAAGUUAAAGAGAGGAAUACAUCGAGUUUGGUCCAUUCAAGCACGUCCCAGCUUCCGGUACCUUCCAUCUUCUCCGACGAAUAUCGCAGCGAUCGUAAUCGCCUAGAGGAGUUUCUCGGCGCCGUCAUCUAAACGGUGACGAGGCUCGCCUUUCUCUUUCUCUGCCUCUUAACGGUGGGAAACGACGGAUUUCGCACGCUGCCUUUUCGCUACGGAGACAAUGAGACUCUCGAAUACGGCGUAGUUUCUUCCGUACGGCCAACGCUUUGCGUUUUAGACUUGUUUUUGUUUGUUUGAUUAAUAAUGGGCUUUCUUACCUAUUUUAAACAUAUUUUGUUGAUAAAAAGUAAUGGAAAAUUUGAGUGUAGUUUUGGAUAAUUAAAAUUUCAGCAAGAAAAAAAUUGGAUAAUGAACUGAAGAAUUCUUAUUUGAACUCAAUUUAUGUACUCUCUGUACAAAAAAAUAAUAAUAACAAUGUUUUAAUUAUAAAUUAGAUAUAUAUAUAUAUAUAUAUAUAUAUAAUUUUAAAAAUCGUAUUAUAAUAUCUCAAAAUGAAUUUCAAAACUGAAUUUGUAUUUGUAUGUGUGUGAUGAACCAUUUGUAUAUUUAUGAUCGUAUAAAGCAAACACCAUACGCAUUCGUAUUGUAUGCAAUAUACAAGAAUAUUAAUGGUGUAACCGUAUACGUAACUGAAUUUUGAGAUUUGCGACUUAUGAAUUGGUUUCCAUGAAGAACCCACACCAGUGACAUCACCAUACGAAUAAACUCUGACCGAGAGAACAACAAGCACGAGUUAUAAUAAUACAGACAUAACUUGAACAACUCGGAACUUAAAAUCCCCAAAUCAAGGAUUCUUCUGUAUCAUCACCACUGGAUUUUACAAUAAUCAAAAACAACCUUGGCACAUACGUAUAUGCAGCAGUAGUAUGUAUCAUCUCAACCACAAUAAAAUCUCGUAGAAACAAUAUACAAUGCAUCAUCACAUCCUACUACAAGUCAGAAUAGUAAAGGAGAUAAAGAGAAAAGAGACGCUCACAUCAUAAUACCUCUCGUGGUAAUCUAGCAACGUAACAGCUUUUCGUCCUCGGGUUUGGUCCAAGCUGCACGGUUUGGUUGAGUUCCAAUGCCAGUUUAGGUAAAAAAUAUAGUCUAGGAGAGCUUCAGUAGUUAUCCGUGUCUAAACAUUUCUCAAGUGUUUGACUACUAGUACACUCUUGAAGAGCCUUGGCGUUAAGCUCUCUGCCAUAUCUCCAGACAUAGUUGAGCCCGACAAGAAGCUCCGU
rnacentral:lncRNA from 1 species